rnacentral:pre_miRNA from 1 species
AGAUGGCAGUACUGGCAACUGUAAACAUCCUUGACUGGAAGCUGGUGCAGAAGAUGGGGCUUUCAGUCGGAUGUUUGCAGCUGCCAACUGCUAUUACC